UAAAAACUUUUGCUUUUUUGGUUGAACAUUCUCUUGACAUCUAAGAAAUAAUAGGCAUAUAUAAGUUUAGUUUGCUUGCUCCUUUAAAUUACUCCAACAUAUAUAAAGGAACAAACGGAGUAUCUCUCUUAUAGAUUGUAAUACAACGAAAUUGUUGCAUUGCGUAGAAGUCGGCUAAAGUAUUGGGAAAGGGAAAUAUGGGAAGUUUUGAGAAGCAAGUGAAGGAGAGAGCACAAGAAUUGAAGAUCUUUUUCAAGAAGGGAGUGAAAAUUGUGGGAGAUUCUUGCAAGAAGGGUUGGUACAAGGUCAAGCACAUAAGGAGUUGAAAUUAUUAAAAUUUGUUUUUUUUUAAACAUGGUGUAGGUUUUACUAAUUUCUUUUUAUUUUCUUUGAGGGGUUUUGAGCAUUGGGGAGAAGUUUGAUUUUAUGUCACUAUGUAUAAUUUGCAAUGUUGGUUCUUGAAAAGAUAUAAAUGUAAAGAGUCUUGGUA